AGUUAGUGUAAUUACUGACUUUACCCUUUGGAUUCUAUAAUUACAAGAAUAUAACAACAUCAAACAAGCACAAAGAUUGUAAAAAUUAGCAUGGUUCCGUCUCUUAAGAGUUAAGACAUCUUUUGUCGUAAAGAUAGGUAAUGUCCUUACGCUUUCAACAGACGACAAUGAAAAAUCAGUGAAAGAAAAUCCACUCCCCCUGUUGCCUGACCGCAUUGAUCCAAAGCUACUUGUGGUUGAGAUUCGUGGCGUUCAACCUGAAUCAAAGCUGUCGAAGAGUACCCUGGAAAUGUGAUCCACGCUUAUCCUAUCCGUGCUCGGCCUGUCUAAGCUCAUGAAUGAAUCACUAUCAGAUUCAGAGAAAUCACCAAGCAACUUCCAAGGGUACUCUCUUCCCCUUGAAAACGGUGACCUGCAUAGUAUUUUUAUCGUCAGCCUGUGAGAAAUAAGCCCUGUGCAGCGAUGGUGUCUUUUCUCCACCUGCACAACAGAAUUUCCGCAUUAGGAAGUUGGCCGAAUCACAGUGUGAACAGCUGUGGAAAAACAAAAUGGAAGCAUCACAUGUCCUUAAACGAAGCCGAACUUUCCAUACUUGGUGUGCUCUUGUUAAGUGCUUCAGGAGUUGAACUAGUACCUUUAGCCUGCUCCUCCAUCUGCUGUACUUGAGUUUUCAGAGGCUAUGUGAACAGUGCUGGACGAGAAGCAUUCUUGACAGAGGAGAUCUUCAUCUUUGAUAUAACAUAGACAGUGCAGAAGUCGGGUGCUCCUUUGAUACGCUUGUAGAUGUGGCAUGAGAAGAAACACUAGAAAAAAAGUAGUGGGAGAAUCACUUGAUAAAGCCUUGAUGUGAGGUGCCAAGAACCAGGUCUUCUAUUGCAGCCUGGGAGACGUAUUCUGUUAUCGCCUUUGCUAUGUCUAUGUCCUCCAGAACCACAUGAAAGCAAUUUAUCUGUUGAAAAAGAGUUGCAUUUUGAGAAAAGAAUAGAACGGAAGACCAUCAUAUCCUUACAUUGCUGAAAAAUGCGUCAAUGUUCAACCAGCAUCUGACGAAGAAUGAAAAAGGGGAAUAUCAUCUGAGCUUACAUCUCGCGAGUACAGAAGCAAUGAAAGGUGAGGAGUAGCUCUUUUGUCCUCUUUUCCAGCACUUGUUUUUGAGCAUAUGCAGCUCCAUCAACAUUGCGAAUGACAGAGUUGUUGCCGGCAGCAUCAGCAUAGUUAAAUCAAAAUCAAGGCAUUCAGGACAGAACUCUAAUGCAAGAAAUUGUAUCUUGCAGAUGUUUGAACAUAGAUAUCAUCCAACAUACAUUACAAAGCACUGUUCCCUCCAUCAGUUGCAUGAAAAACAAUCAUAUCUAUGGUUUUAAGACACAUCGCAUGUUAGAGAUAGAUACAUAACCACUCUAUCAACUUUGGGAGAGACAUGUUAAAGUGAUCAAAUUCUUAAAAUGUACAAGACAUCUUCAUGUGACCUUAA